rnacentral:rRNA from 1 species
CCUACGGGUGGCAGCAGUGGGGAAUAUUGCACAAUGGGGGAAACCCUGAUGCAGCGACGCCGCGUGAGUGAAGAAGUAUUUCGGUGUGUAAAGCUCUGUCAGCAGGGGAGAAAAUGACGGUACCUGAACAAGAAGCCCCGGCUAACUACGUGCUCGCAGCCGCGAUCAUACGUAGGGGGCAAGCGUUAUCCGGAUUUACUGGGUGUAAAGGGAGCGUAGACGGCAGGGCAAGUCUGGAGUGAAAGGCGGGGGAGCAACCCACGGACUGCACUGGAAACUGCCAGGCUGGAGUGCAGGAGAGGUAAGUGGAAGUCCUGGUGUAGCGGUGAAAUGCGUAGAUAUUAGGAGGAACACCAGUGGCGAAGGCGGCUUACUGGACUGUAACUGACGUUGAGGCUCGAAAGCGUGGGGAGCAAACAGGAUUAGAUACCCUGGUAGUC